CUUAGGGAGCAUGUCUGAGGAACUACAGAGAGGCCAGGUUGGUGAGAACAGACUAUGUGAAUAGAAGGCUGACAGAAAUGAGGUCACAAAGGAAGCUAGUAGAUAGAUCACAUAAGGCUGUGUAGGACCUGGUAAGAAACAGGAGUUUUAUUCUAUGCGUAAUGAGUAGGAGAGAUUUUAAGCAGAAGAGUACGUACUCUGACUUUUGGUUUAAAAGUCUCAACCUUGGUGGAUAUGAAUUUAACAAGCUACCGGGGUCAGGAAAGAGGACAGAAUUCUGAGUUAAGAAGUAACUGUAGUAAUCUAGGAAAGAGAUCAGGAAUAUUUAAACUAAGGAGGAAGUGAAUCCACCAGCAACAGUGCCCGCUGGCAGGCAUCAUGGCUUAAUUCUCCCAGGAAACCCUGGCUGAGAACGUCUACGGGAUCAAGUCUAAUCUCCUCAGAAUGAAACAGAAGAUCAUUUACAUGCCAUAGACAUCUCCACCGUAUUUCUUGAGACUUCUCUUCCCUUCUUCCUAUAUCAAGCUACCGACGAUUUCCUUAAUGCCGAGCCUAUUUCCAACUUCUUUGUUUGGAAUUCCCUUGGAGUCUCUGUGGUAGUGUCUACUAAUCUUUAUCAAAGUGGAAGCAUGAUCCUAUCCAUGAAACACUUCCUCCUAUUCCCUAACGCAGAACCGAGGUCUUCCUUCUUGGUAGGUAUAUGAUAGUGAUCUUCAGCCAUCUGAUGGGAAGUCAUGUAGAAGACAGAACAAACAUGAUCUCAGCUAUAUGGAAGGCCACACAGGACCAGAAUGUUAUAGUCCUACGUUUGUCAAGUAAUGAAUUUGUCUUCAACUGUCACUGGGUUUAGCAUGUCAAUCUGGACAACCAGGUCAUUUCCAGGACACUGGUUUCUGAAAAUACAGAUUUGGUACAGUUA